AUCGCUUCUCGGCUCUCUGAGCUAAGAUCAUGUGUAGUAUCUGUUCUUUGCAGUGUAAUUUCUGCAACAGUCUCUAAACUGAGACCAAUGAAAUUACCUGUAGGCCUCCAAACGCCCU
rfam:Schistosoma mansoni, Puerto Rico, WGS project CABG01000000 data, contig: 0278